GACGAACGCUGGCGGCGUGCUUAACACAUGCAAGUCGAACGAAGUGGCGAACGGGUGAGUAACGCGUAAUCAACCUGCCCUUCAGAGGGGGACAACAGUUGGAAACGACUGCUAAUACCGCAUACUGAAGGAGGGGAUUGCGUCUGAUUAGCUCGUUGGAGGGGUAACGGCCCACCAAGGCGAUGAUCAGUAGCCGGGCUGGGGGGAUGGACGGCCACAUUGGGACUGAGACACGGCCCAAACUCCGACGGGAGGGAGCAGUUGGGAAUCUUCCGCAAGGGACGAAAGGCUGAAGGAGCAACGCCGCGUGAGUGAUGACGGCCUUCGGGUUGGAAAGCUAUGUUAAUCGGGACGCGGUACCGGAAUAGAAAGCCACGGCUAACUACGUGCCAGCAGCCGCGGUAAUUC
rnacentral:rRNA from 1 species